GUCGUUUUAGCUGCGUGAUCCGCGUUGAGGAUUUCGAAACCACUAGUCACAAUCGAAUUUGGCCAGCUAACAUAUCAUGCCAAAUACAAAAUUUAUCUGUUUUCUUUUCAAUGAUUCAAUCCUUGUCAGUACCAUAUAAAGCAUAAACUAUUGUGUGUAUAAUUGAGCACUGACACGGCUGUUCUUGAUUUUUCAAAAGAAAAAAAAA
rnacentral:lncRNA from 7 species